UACAGAGGUGGCAAGCGUUGUUCGGAAUUACUGGGCGUAAAGGGCGCGUAGGCGGCCAUCUAAGUCAGACGUGAAAUCCCCGGGCUCAACCCGGGAACUGCGUCCGAUACUGGAAGGCUUGAAUCCGGGAGAGGGAUGCGGAAUUCCAGGUGUAGCGGUGAAAUGCGUAGAUAUCUGGAGGAACACCGGUGGCGAAGGCGGCAUCCUGGACCGGUAUUGACGCUGAGGCGCGAAAGCCAGGGGAGCAAAGCGGG
rnacentral:rRNA from 1 species